rnacentral:rRNA from 1 species
UACACUCCUACGGGAGGCAGCAGUGGGGAAUUUUGGACAAUGGGCGAAAGCCUGAUCCAGCAAUGCCGCGUGUGUGAAGAAGGCCUUCGGGUUGUAAAGCACUUUUGUCCGGAAAGAAAUCCUUGGCUCUAAUACAGUCGGGGGAUGACGGUACCGGAAGAAUAAGCACCGGCUAACUACGUGCCAGCAGCCGCGGUAAUACGUAGGGUGCGAGCGUUAAUCGGAAUUACUGGGCGUAAAGCGUGCGCAGGCGGUUUGCUAAGACCGAUGUGAAAUCCCCGGGCUCAACCUGGGAACUGCAUUGGUGACUGGCAGGCUAGAGUAUGGCAGAGGGGGGUAGAAUUCCACGUGUAGCAGUGAAAUGCGUAGAGAUGUGGAGGAAUACCGAUGGCGAAGGCAGCCCCCUGGGCCAAUACUGACGCUCAUGCACGAAAGCGUGGGGAGCAAACAGGAUUAGAUACCCCGGUAGUCCCAUGA